AGUGAACGCUGGCGGUAGGCCUAACACAUGCAAGUCGAACGGCAGCACAGAGGAGCUUGCUCCUUGGGUGGCGAGUGGCGGACGGGUGAGGAAUACAUCGGAAUCUACUCUGUCGUGGGGGAUAACGUAGGGAAACUUACGCUAAUACCGCAUACGACCUACGGGUGAAAGCAGGGGACCUUCGGGCCUUGCGCGAUUGAAUGAGCCGAUGACGGAUUAGCUAGUUGGCGGAGUAAAGGCCCACCAAGGCGACGAUCCGUAGCUGGUCUGAGAGUAUGAUCAGCCACACUGGAACUGAGACACGGUCCAGACUCCUACGGGAGGCAGCGGUGGGGAAUAUUGGACAAUGGGCGCAAGCCUGAUCCAGCCAUCCCGCGUGGGUGAAGAAGGCCUUCGGGUUGUAAAGCCCUUUUGUUGGGAAAGAAAUCCAGCUGGCUAAUACCCGGUUGGGAUGACGGUACCCAAAGAAUAAGCACCGGCUAACUUCGUGCCAGCCGCCGCCGUAA
rnacentral:rRNA from 1 species